rnacentral:rRNA from 1 species
UACGGGGGGUGCAAGCGUUAAUCGGAAUUACUGGGCGUAAAGCGUGCGCAGGCGGUUUGUUAAGUCCGUUGUGAAAGCCCCGAGCUCAACUUGGGAAUUGCAGUGGAUACUGGCAGGCUGGAGUACGGUAGAGGAAGGUGGAAUUCCCGGUGUAGCAGUGAAAUGCGUAGAUAUCGGGAGGAACACCAGUGGCGAAGGCGGCCUUCUGGACCAGUACUGACGCUCAUGCACGAAAGCGUGGGGAGCAAACAGG